rnacentral:rRNA from 1 species
UACGGAGGGUGCAAGCGUUAUCCGGAUUCACUGGGUUUAAAGGGUGCGUAGGUGGGCAGGUAAGUCAGUGGUGAAAUCUCCGGGCUUAACCCGGAAACUGCCAUUGAUACUACCUGUCUUGAAUACCGUGGAGGUGAGCGGAAUAUGUCAUGUAGCGGUGAAAUGCUUAGAUAUGACAUAGAACACCAAUUGCGAAGGCAGCUCACUACGCGAAUAUUGACACUGAGGCACGAAAGCGUGGGGAUCAAACAGG